rnacentral:tRNA from 1 species
GGCGCUGUGGCUUAGUAGGUUAAAGCCCUGGCCUGAAGUGCCGGCAUCCCAUAUGAGCACUGGUUCAAGUCCCGGCUGCUCCA